AUUGAACGCUGGCGGCAUGCCUUACACAUGCAAGUCGAACGGCAGCGGGCCUUCGGGUGCCGGCGAGUGGCGAACGGGUGAGUAAUGCAUCGGAACGUGCCAUUGAGUGGGGGGAUAACGUAGCGAAAGUUGCGCUAAUACCGCAUAUUCUGUGAGCAGGAAAGCAGGGGGACCGCAAGGCCUUGCGCUCUUUGAGCGGCCGAUGUCAGAUUAGCUAGUUGGUGAGGUAACGGCUUACCAAGGCGACGAUCUGUAGCGGGUCUGAGAGGAUGAUCCGCCACACUGGAACUGAGACACGGUCCAGACUCCUACGGGAGGCAGCAGUGGGGAAUUUUGGACAAUGGGGGCAACCCUGAUCCAGCCAUGCCGCGUGAGUGAAGAAGGCCUUCGGUUGGUUAAAGGACUCGUUUUCCGGUCCGGGGUAACGGAAAAGUACGCAUGGUGAAUACCUCGUGUGGAGUGACGGUACCGGAA
rnacentral:rRNA from 1 species